CUCACGAAAACAGUCCAAAAAUCACAAUCAGCUCGCCAAAAUCGUAACACUCAUCAAAAGCCAAACACAACAAAAGCCCUGUAUCAACCCUGGUGGUGAUAAUGGACGCCAGUCCAAUGCUAGCGACCCCCGCGCCACCGCGCGGCUGCGUCCAUAGCAACACCUACUAUUAAAAAAAAAAAAAAAAAAAAUGUCGAAAGUUCUUGCUGCUUUGUUCGGGUUUUACUUGUGUUUUUGGAAUAAAUUCGACGCUAAAUCAAAUAUUGCGUAUGCAAAUGUACUGCACUACCUGACAACUUUCAACAACGUCGGGUUUUCAUCACCAAAAACUGAUUGACUGAAAUGUUUCCCGUCUGCCUGAUCUUCCACUAUGAAAAUCACUUUAUUAAUGAGACAUUAGAAAAAGAUACAGGUUAACAAAUAGCCUUUUAUGUGUUGUGCCGCUUACUACAGCGAAGAAGUGAUCACAACCAAGUCCGAAAACCAAACAGUAGUAGUACUACAACCUGUGCUAUAAGUCUAAACUCUGAAUUUCAUGCCUUCAGCAGCGUGAAAAACAGUGAAAUGUAUUCAUACUGUGCUGUUUUCCAUGAUCACUUGAAAGCAAUAUUGCAUUAAAAAAGAAGUAUGUUGAUGGCCAUACCGUUAACUUCCACAUAUUCUUCUUAAUCAUCAAGCAGCCUUAAUGGGAUAUAAGAGCAGGAGCACCUCUCGAAAUCAAACUUCCCAGAAGUUACCCUAGCCUGGUUAAGGAUCAAGAAAGGCACUGACGCCGAUUAUCACCUCCAGAAGGAUAGAUGUGGAAUCCUGGAAAUGUUGCCAGCUCCGGUCAACAUUUGGUCUUGCGAAUGCAAUUGUGCCACCCAGCAUCAAUACCACCUAUCACCACGCUACUGCAAUACUUCAUGACACUUCUUUCUUUAGAAUCAGGAAAUUUAUCUCAGCAUGUGGAGUGAUGCUGUU
rnacentral:lncRNA from 1 species